rnacentral:misc_RNA from 1 species
GAUGAAGAACGCAGCGAAAUGCGAUAAGUAAUGUGAAUUGCAGAAUUCAGUGAAUCAUCGAAUCUUUGAACGCACAUUGCGCCCGCCAGCAUUCUGGCGGGCAUGCCUGUUCGAGCGUCAUUUCAACCCUCGAGCCCCCCCGGGGGCCUCGGUGUUGGGGGACGGCACACCAGCCGCCCCCGAAAUGCAGUGGCGACCCCGCCGCAGCCUCCCCUGCGUAGUAGCACACACCUCGCACCGGAGCGCGGAGGCGGUCACGCCGUAAAACGCCCAACUUUCUUAGAGUUGACCUCGGAUCAGGUAGGAAUACCCGCUGAACUUAAACAUAUCAAUAAGCGGAGGA